GUAAGGAAUAUUGGGCAAUGGACGCAAGUCUGACCCAGCCAUGCCGCGUGGAGGAUGAAGGUCCUCUGGAUUGUAAACUUCUUUUAUCUGGGAAGAAACCCAUGAAUUCUUUCGUGGUUGACGGUACCAGAUGAAUAAGCACCGGCUAACUCCGUGCCAGCAGCCGCGGUAAUACGGAGGGUGCAAGCGUUAUCCGGAUUCACUGGGUUUAAAGGGUGCGUAGGUGGGCAAGUAAGUCAGUGGUGAAAUCUCCGGGCUUAACCGGAAACUGCCGUUGAUACUAUUUGCCUUGAAUAUCGUGGAGGUAAGCGGAAUAUGUCAUGUAGCGGUGAAAUGCUUAGAUAUGACAUAGAACACCGAUUGCGAAGGCAGCUUACUACACGAUCAUUGACACUGAGGCACGAAAGCGUGGGGAGCAAA
rnacentral:rRNA from 1 species